CCUCAGAAACAAGUCUACCUCGAGGACCAGUCUCUACUUGAGGCCUAUGGAGCCUGGUUUGUGAAAUCACGUUGAUGCUGGUGUGCAAGAACCUUGAGACUGCACUAAUUAAGUCUACUCUGGAGCCAGCCCUGUGUGCUCUUUAUCUUUGACUUCAGCAAUUGCUAAAUCAAGGUCCUCUUUGGAUUCCAGCAUGAUGCAUCAAACCAUACCAUGGUGUAGCUAGGACCGAAUCCGGUACCAGAAAUAAAGGAGUUAACCCUGCAAGACCCACAGCCCCGGACAAUGUGGCUUCCGCAGAUGACAUGAGGCCCACAUGUUACCUCGGGGAUGCUGAAGAGGACAACUCAGGAGGCUGAACGAAUCCUGCUCUGGACGCAAACACCAUUUACUCCAGAUAAUUUGUUUCUUGCUAUGUUUUCUGUUGUACACUGCAACUCAUAUAAGGUAUUAAUCCUUUUUAUGCUCUCGCUUUGUCUGUAACCUGUUCCUGCUACUACACUGUACUGGGCUCAUAUCUUAGACCCAACUUUCUUUUGCCCUGUCACCUGGGCAGACACUCCCUUCCCAGCCUAUAAUAACGUGACUGCUUGGUUAGGAGGAAUAGAUUUACCCCCAGUGAGGUCCCGCAAUAGUGGCACACAUUGGACUCAGGUGCCAGAUAACACUACAUAUCACUUCACUAUCCUCCCACUGUAUGUAAGUUAUAAAGGAUCUAACCCUUACUGUGUACCUGCCCAAAAACAAGUAUGGCUACAUCAUGGUAAAGGAAAUGCCUUAGCAUUCUUAGCUGCAGGAAGCCUCAAGCUGGGCAAUGCAAUCAAUACCACUUUCCCAAACAUUCCGUCCUGUGCUAAAGAACAAAGCCAGGAAAGUAAUGGAUUCCACUUUAGCUGGGAGGUCUGUCACGGGAGACAAGCCCAUAGCCUGCAGUUAGGCAAUUAUAACAUCUUCGACUGGAGCCCCCAUGGCCGAUUGUAGGGCAGCCUUACUAAUGUCUUCAUCCAUCAUAGCAUCAAUCACAGUUUCAUAGCCACGUCUCGUUCCCCUAUAAUUUGGGCCGAUGGGGGGAUGGGAUAUCCCAGACCUUAAGUGAAGUCCAUGCCACCCCAAGGAAUCUUACGGCGCCUGGGACAUCUUAGCACCUCCCUUAACACCUGGCAUGGGACAUGUCAUAAUUCCAGUCACAACUAUACCAUAACCUUUAUUCAUAAUCACACUGAUCAGUGCCUGAUUUGCUCUACCCAUCCAUAUGUUUUCCUUAUGAGAACUAACAUUUCCAUUACACCUCAAAACUCCACGUUUGUGACCCGGGUGCAGGGACAGUCUUGGUUUGCCUCAUGUUUCACCACAAUAUAUCUAAUUUAAAAAUUACUAGUGUCAUGAUAUUAAGGAGACAAUCUGAGGCAUUCCUACUAGUCAAUCUGACACACAGUUAGCAAGGUUCCUCUGUCUUUGCCACCUUACAACGUACCUUGUCCCAUGUCAGACACAAAAGAUUCAUAGUUACACUUAUGGCUUUUAUAGUUUCAGUCAUAGUCAUCCUGGCAACUGCUCGCGUUGCUGUUGCAUCUAUUACUGAGUCACUAUAAACAGCUGCCUUUGUAGAUAAUCUGGCCAAAAAUGUGUCUAAUGAACUUCUCUUACAGCAAGGUAUAGAUCAAAAAAUUCUUGCACGUGUGCAAGCCCACGAGGCUGCUUUAGAAUAUGGGGGGGGGUGCGACAAGAUGCACUGGCAUUCCGACAGCAAUUAAACUCUGACUGGGAGCA
ensembl:lncRNA